UAGUGGCGACGGGUGAGUAACACGUGGGCAAUCUGCCCUGCACUCUGGGACAAGCCCUGGAAACGGGGUCUAAUACCGGAUACUGAUCCGUCUGGGCAUCCAGACGGUUCGAAAGCUCCGGCGGUGCAGGAUGAGCCCGCGGCCUAUCAGCUUGUUGGUGAGGUAGUGGCUCACCAAGGCGACGACGGGUAGCCGGCCUGAGAGGGCGACCGGCCACACUGGGACUGAGACACGGCCCAGACUCCUACGGGAGGCAGCAGUGGGGAAUAUUGCACAAUGGGCGAAAGCCUGAUGCAGCGACGCCGCGUGAGGGAUGACGGCCUUCGGGUUGUAAACCUCUUUCAGCAGGGAAGAAGCGAAAGUGACGGUACCUGCAGAAGAAGCGCCGGCUAACUACGUGCCAGCAGCCGCGGUAAUACGUAGGGCGCGAGCGUUGUCCGGAAUUAUUGGGCGUAAAGAGCUCGUAGGCGGCUUGUCACGUCGGUUGUGAAAGCCCGGGGCUUAACCCCGGGUCUGCAGUCGAUACGGGCAGGCUAGAGUUCGGUAGGGGAGAUCGGAAUUCCUGGUGUAGCGGUGAAAUGCGCAGAUAUCAGGAGGAACACCGGUGGCGAAGGCGGAUCUCUGGGCCGAUACUGACGCUGAGGAGCGAAAGCGUGGGGAGCGAACAGGAUUAGAUACCCUGGUAGUCCACGCCGUAAACGGUGGGCACUAGGUGUGGGCAACAUUCCACGUUGUCCGUGCCGCAGCUAACGCAUUAAGUGCCCCGCCUGGGGAGUACGGCGCAAGGCUAAAACUCAAAGGAAUUGACGG
rnacentral:rRNA from 1 species